rnacentral:rRNA from 1 species
GAUGAACGCUGGCGGCGUGCCUAAUACAUGCAAGUCGAGCGAACGGACGAGAAGCUUGCUUCUCUGAUGUUAGCGGCGGACGGGUGAGUAACACGUGGAUAACCUACCUAUAAGACUGGGAUAACUUCGGGAAACCGUAGCUAAUACCGGCUAAUAUUUUGAACCGCAUGGUUCAAAAGUGAAAGACGGUCUUGCUGUCACUUAUAGAUGGAUCCGCGCUGCAUUAGCUAGUUGGUAAGGUAACGGCUUACCAAGGCAACGAUGCAUAGCCGACCUGAGAGGAUGAUCAGCCACACUGGAACUGAGACACGGUCCAGACUCCUACGGGAGGCAGCAGUAGGGAAUCUUCCGCAAUGGGCGAAAGCCUGACGGAGCAACGCCGCGUGAGUGAUGAAGGUCUUCGGAUCGUAAAACUCUGUUAUUAGGGAAGAACAGAUGUGUAAGUAACUGUGCACAUCUUGACGGUACCUAAUCAGAAAGCCACGGCUAACUACGUG